rnacentral:rRNA from 1 species
AGUUUGAUCCUGGCUCAGAUUGAACGCUGGCGGCAUGCUUUACACAUGCAAGUCGAACGGUAACAGGUCUUCGGAUGCUGACGAGUGGCGAACGGGUGAGUAAUACAUCGGAACGUGCCUAGUAGUGGGGGAUAACUACUCGAAAGAGUAGCUAAUACCGCAUGAGAUCUACGGAUGAAAGCAGGGGACCUUCGGGCCUUGUGCUACUAGAGCGGCUGAUGGCAGAUUAGGUAGUUGGUGGGGUAAAGGCUUACCAAGCCUGCGAUCUGUAGCUGGUCUGAGAGGACGACCAGCCACACUGGGACUGAGACACGGCCCAGACUCCUACGGGAGGCAGCAGUGGGGAAUUUUGGACAAUGGGCGAAAGCCUGAUCCAGCAAUGCCGCGUGCAGGAUGAAGGCCCUCGGGUUGUAAACUGCUUUUGUACGGAACGAAAAGCCUGGGGCUAAUAUCCCCGGGUCAUGACGGUACCGUAAGAAUAAGCACCGGCUAACUACGUGCCAGCAGCCGCGGUAAUACGUAGGGUGCAAGCGUUAAUCGGAAUUACUGGGCGUAAAGCG